GACGGAGGAUGCAAGUGUUAUCCGGAAUCACUGGGCGUAAAGCGUCUGUAGGUGGUCAAAUAAGUCAACUGUUAAAUCUUGAGGCUCAACCUCAAAAUCGCAGUCGAAACUAUUAGACUAGAGUAUAGUAGGGGUAAAGGGAAUUUCCAGUGGAGCGGUGAAAUGACGUAGAGAUUGGAAAGAACACCGAUGGCGAAGGCACUUUACUGGGCUAUUACUAACACUCAGAGACGAAAGCUAGGGUAGCAAAUGGG
rnacentral:rRNA from 1 species